GUUUAAACCAGAAUUUUUCCUCUCAAUAAAUAAGGCCGUCAAUGUUGCAUAGCAAGGACAAGGGCUAUCAUUUCUCGUUCAUAUGCAGACUUAGAAAAAUUUCAAGGAGAAAGAGCCUUUUUGAAAAACGCAAUAGGCUGCCACUCUUGCAUUAAGACAACUCCCAACUCAGAGCUCGACGCGUCACAUUCAAGAACAAAUGUUUUAGAGAAAUCUGGAGUGGCUAAUACAGGAGAUGACUACAAAGCUUCCUUCAAUUUAAUAAAAGCAUCUUGAGCUUAUU
rnacentral:misc_RNA from 1 species